AAAAAGGGUACUCGCUACUUCAAUAGCGCGUCGGUGCUGCUAAAGCAGGCUGGCGGGGUAUGGCAAUCAAGACAUACUCAGUACAUAAUUUUUGAAACCGUGGAGCAGUCGGCUGCCAGUUGCACUGACGCUCCC